rnacentral:rRNA from 1 species
GAUGAACGCUGGCGGCAGGCUUAAUACAUGCAAGUCGAACGGUAACAUGUCGGAGCAAUCUGAUGAUGACGAGUGGCGCACGGGUGCGUAACGCGUAUGCAACCUACCCAUAACCGGAACAUAACGUUGAGAAAUCGGCGCUAAUAUUCCAUGUGUAUAUUUUGUGGCAUCAUAGAAUAUAUAAAGAUUAAUUGGUUAUGGAUGGGCAUGCGUAUCAUUAGCUAGUUGGUGGGGUAACGGCCUACCAAGGCUGCGAUGAUUAGGGGUUCUGAGAGGAUAACCCCCCAACUGGAACUGAGACACGGUCCAGACUCCUACGGGAGGCAGCAGUAGGGAAUAUUGGGCAAUGGAGGCAACUCUGACCCAGCCAUGCCGCGUGAAGGAAGACGGUCCUAUGGAUUGUAAACUUCUUUUAUCAUAGAGUAACCGCAGGGACGUGUCCCUGCCUGCAAGUAUAUGAUGAAUAAGC